UCUUUCAACAGCCAAGAAUCAGUCCACUCAUCUUCAAUUCAGCAUUGUAAACUUCAAUUUAUCUUCAAUAUAAUCGGCUUCUUUCAAUUCAGCAUUAACUGCAUGCCUCCUACCCCAUUAAUUCUGUAUUAACAUGUUACAACUAAUCUGCAUUAAACUCCUACCAAUAUUCCUCCAUCUGACUUCCAAUAAAACCCCACUACUCCCCAUCCCCAACAUGCCUCACAAAGAGUUGAUGAUACCAAACUUCCUGCUGCAUCUGCAGUCAUUCAUUUUUCUCCGCAAUCGCAAACCGAAGCUCACAGUAACCAAAUCAGACCGGACUUCCUUUCUGACAAAUAUUACGUUGUUGAUGUCGGAUACCCAAAUACUAAAGGGUAUCUUGCUCCAUACAAAGGUCAAACCAUUCGUUAUCGUAUACCGAAAUUUCAACGUGGACAAAGUAGUGUUAUGCGUGCUCCUCGCGGACCAAAAGAGACAUUUAACUAUCACCACUCGGCAUUGCGGAAUAUCAUUGAACGAACCUUUGGAGUAUGGAAAGCUAGGUGGGCGUUAUUGAGAGAUAUACAUGUUAACUACACAUACGAGCACCAAGUGAGUAUUGUGAUAACAUCGAUGGCGAUCCAUAACUUUGUUAAAAAACCUUUAACACGACCCAACAAGAAUCUUACAAUCCCAGCAGUACUAGUGAUGAACUUCAUGAAGAAGUUUCGUCUACAAAUCGUAUGGAUGAUGAUGAUGGUAUGUAUAUGGUAGCGAUAAGAGAUAUGAUUGUGCAAGAUAUAAUGGAAUCACGAAGAAGAACAUAGUAUGACAUUAGUUUGUUAUUCUUGUGCAUUUUUUUGUGUUUUUUAGCAAUCUGAAUGUAAUAUUAUUAUGUUCUAAUUAGGAAAUUAUAAAAUAUGUAAACAUAUUUUAUGUUAUAUAUUUCUUGAAGUUGUUUUUCAA